rnacentral:lncRNA from 1 species
UCUCCUCUCCUCUCCUCUCCUCUUCUCUCCUGCUCCCCCCUCCUCCUCUUCCUCGUCUCACAUUUUUCAUUCCUGGGUGACAGAUGGGAGCCUUCAGACUUUCGACACUCCCCAAACUUCAAACUCUCUCUCUUUGAAAGAAGAAAAUGAGGGAAUGGUGAGGGUAGCCACGAUGCACCAGUGAACAGACGUCCCCAAACCCUGCUGCUGCAGGCAUUCGUUGCCGACAAGGAAAGACAGCAGAGAAAAAACAUGAAGUCCCUACUCUGCGGUUGGGAUGCUGAGGGAGGCCAGGAAGACUAGACAAACGGUUGUUCCUUCCCUGGAGUCCUGGACCCGGCUUUCGCUAAAAAGAAAUGGCUCCCCACAAAAGCCAUGGAGUUCUUUUAUUUCCCGAUUGUCGUGCCAGGUGUUUCCAGGGGCACUCGAAGCUGGUGGAGGAAGUAGAAUGAACCCAGGCUUAGCCCAGGGAGUCAGGGCUUUCCAGCCUCUCUGCUCCUCUCUGACCUUGAGCAGGUCCCUCCCGGCACACUGGGGGCUUGCAAACUACAGGGUAUGGGCUUCCUUUCCUUGUGCAUCUCUUGGUUGUGGUGAGAAGCAACAAGAGGCACUUUGGAAAAGUCGAGAGCAUCACAUGACCUCCAGGCUGGAUUCUGGAUCCCUCUUCAUCCAAGAUGGCAGUGGGAGCCUUCAGCCUGAUUCCUUCCUUUUCUCAUUUAUCUGUUCCUGCCUCACUGGAGAAGCACCGAGAGCCCCUGUACCAGAUGCUGUUAUUUUCUCAGAGACUGAGGAUACCCACAGGCUCCUGGGAAAUCAGAGGGAGGAGGGAGCAAGUCUAAAUAAACAAUAAUUAUGAUGACUAGAUAUGAGGCCUGUUUGUCUUGAGUCGGGAUCUUGUCAUGUAGCUCAGGCUACCUGGCUAUUGAUGGAAGGCCUUCUAGAUGGAGAACCAUCUUCCUUGAGGUGUCCAGGGAGCUGUGAAGAAUAGAAAGAGGUGCUUGCCUGUUCUCCCAGCACUUGGGAGGCAAAGGCAGGAAGAUUGGGAGUCCAAAGUCAUUCCUCAGGAAACCUAUUUGCCUGGUUAAAAAUGGCCCCAGAAGCCAGGCGUGGUGGCCUUUAAUCCCAGCACUUGGGGGAGUGCAGCGGCAGGCGGAUUUCUGAGUUCGAGGCCAG